UUUAACGAGUAGACCGAUAGUAUAAAAAUGGAAGCAGAUUUCAGAUCUCAUUAUCUUCAAUCGGGUAUUUUCAAAUUGGAUUGAAAAUUUUCAAGUAUGUCGCCUCGUAAAUUGAUGUUUUUGAUUUUGAUGCUGUGCGUCUUCACUACUAGUGCUUACGCAGCUUGUUGUGGUGGAGCAGACAGAAGUGACGAAUACAGUAAUGAGGAUGAUACAAGUGACGAAGGCAGAAAUGGUGGAGGCAACAAAAGUUAUAAACGACCUCUGAUCGAAAUACCAAUAUUCAGUAAAGUUUCUCAAUGAAAAAUAUUAUUGGAUUAUAAUAGAUUGUUGCAGUGAGACAAUGUGUUACAACAUAAUAAAAUGUGACUUAUUUUUCUUUCAAUUUUGCAACUGUACAAAGAAAUAAAAUUUAAAUUUUAGAAUGUAA